CGUAGGGGGCAAGCGUUGUCCGGAUUUACUGGGCGUAAAGAGCGCGUAGGCGGAGAUCUAAGCGUGGCCUGAAAGCCCCCGGCUCAACCGGGGAGUGCGGCUGCGAACUGGGUUUCUUGAGGACGAUAGAGGAGAGUGGAAUUCCUGGUGUAGCGGUGAAAUGCGUAGAUAUCAGGAGGAACACCCGAGGCGAAGGCGGCUCUCUGGGUCGUACCUGACGCUGAGGCGCGAAAGCGUGGGGAGCGAACGGGAUUAGAUACCCCGGUAGUCCACGCCGUAAACGAUGGUCACUAGGUGUGUGUGGUAUCGACCCCGCACGUGCCGCAGCUAACGCAAUAAGUGACCCGCCUGGGGAGUACGGCCGCAAGGUUG
rnacentral:rRNA from 1 species